rnacentral:lncRNA from 13 species
CUGCUGUGGGAUCCCCAUGGUGUUUGUUUAUCUCUGUCUCCUCUGCAACACACCCUGAUCAAUCUCCACUGAUAUUUGUAGUCAUUUUGACACUUUGAGGUCUGGGGUUUUAACUUUCUUCUUGUUUUACUAAAAAUGAAUUAAAGAAAAUCUUUUUCUUCUCCUUUAUUGCUUCUGUAUUUCCAAGAAGAAAAUGGUAGAAAUGCUGAGUUUACAUUUCAUGUGAAAACUUGAGUCCUACUCAGAAAUGUUGGAUUGUCCAACAUUUCUAACAACACUUAGAAAUCAAGUUAUUUUGUUUGAUUAUCUGAGAUUUUAAUCAGUCUUUUCUUCUUUUUCGAAGAAUGGUAUACUUCCUACUAUACUCAUUAUAACUAGAUUGGCUGGUGAAAUAAAUGGCCUUUAAGAUUGGCCUCAAUGUUUUUGAAAAUUAGGGAAUGGUUUAAUAACAAUAUUUAAACACCGUUAUCCAUUACCAUUUUGGUACUUAAUAACUGUUAGGCAUCAUGGUAUUCUCAUUGCCAACAUACUUUAUUUUUCUUUCUUAAAAGUAUAUUUUAUUGGUACAUAAUAGUUGUACAUAUUUUCAUACUUAAUAUUAAAAUGCUGACCAUACCUUUGCUUGGUGUUUCGUUGUUGAUGAAUUCUAGAUGGAUGAUGUAGUCUCUUUUAUAUCUGCAGGCAGAUGGAGUUAUUGUUAUGGUGUUUAGGACAAGCCAAUUGUGUUAAAGCAUGUGACACACCUAAUUUCAGAAACCAGAGGGGAAAUCACCACUUAUUCAAGUUCAAGGGAAGUACUCUGGAAUACCCAUAUUGGAUGUGAUCAAUAUUCAAGUCUUUAUUACAUCACCUUCCUUCAAGAGCCAGUGAAUUCCUCUGGACUAUUUCUACAUAUUUGAGAUUAUUCUGCAUGUACUGAUUUUGGCCAUUUUAUUUUCUUUGAGAUAGAGUCUUGCACUGUCACCCAGGCUGGAGUGCAGUGGCAUGAUCUCGACUCACUGCAACCUCUGCCUCCUGGAUUCAAGCAAUCCUCUCACCUCAAUCUCCUGAGUAGCUAGGAUUACAGGACAUGCACUACCACACCAAGCUAGCUUUGUUUGUUUGUUU